rnacentral:misc_RNA from 1 species
AAGUCGUAACAAGGUUUUCCUUCUCCUGAAGCCUUGUACCUAGUCUACCCUUGUAGGCAACAUCUUCACUGUGCUUGGAUACCGACCAGAGGUAACACGCAGCUGCCCUUGCAGUCCACAGAUCAAACGAAGGUGGUCCACACAGCUGGAUUCAGAUAUGACCGGCCCACCGCUGAAAAUGCGGUUGGACCUUAGUGUUCCGUAGGUGAACCUGCGGAAGGAUCAUUACAGAGAACUUGCCCCUUGGGGUAGAUCUCCCACCCUUUGUUUACCAUACCUAUGUUGCUUUGGCAGGCCCGC